rnacentral:lncRNA from 1 species
AUUGAUUUGGUUCGUUCCAGAGUUUUCGGUAGGUAGAGCCAGAGCGUCUCGAGCCAACAGCAGCAGCAUAGCCGAGUGAAGAUGGCGGCUCAGAGAGUGAUGCUGUCAACGAGAGUUUGAGUUCACCUCUCCUUUUUAAACUUAUGAAACCUUCGCGGAUCCUUGCGGAUAGCUGUAUCAAAGAAAACUAUAUUGGUUGCUGCUCCGGACCAUUUGACAAUGGAAACUCAUGUUCUUCCAGAGCCUCUUCAUUUCACAGGUCACACUGUACCUCUGUCAUUGUGAGAAAUUCAGUCUCAGGUCUUUGGCUCUGCUGA